GAUGAACGCUGGCGGCGUGCCUAACACAUGCAAGUCGAGCGAUUCUCUUCGGAGAAGAGCGGCGGACGGGUGAGUAACGCGUGGGUAACCUGCCCUGUACACACGGAUAACAUACCGAAAGAUAUGCUAAUACGAGAUAAUAUACUUUUAUCGCAUGGUAGAAGUAUCAAAGCUCCGGCGUUAAAGGAUGGACCCGCGUCUGAGUAGCUAUUUGUCAAGGUAACGGCUUAACAAGGCGACAAUCAGUAGCCGACCUGACAGGGUGAUCGGCCACAUGGGAACUGAGACACGGUCCAAACUCCUACGGGAGGCAGCAGUGGGGAAUAUUGCACAAUGGGCGAAAGCCUGAUGCAGCAACGCCUCGUGAGCGAUGAAGGCCUUCGGGUCGUAAAGCUCUGUCCUCAAGGAAGAUAAUGACGGUACUUGAGGAGGAAGCCCCGGCUAACUACGUGCCAGCCGCCGCCGUAA
rnacentral:rRNA from 1 species